AAAAAAGGUAAGCUACUAAGAGCGAAUGGUGGAUGCCUUGACUGGUAAAGGCGAUGAAGGACGUACUAGACUGCGAUAAGCUACGGGGAGCUGUCAAGAAGCUUUGAUCCGUAGAUUUCCGAAUGGGGCAACCCAAUGUAUAGAGAUAUACAUUACCUAUAUAGGAGCGAACGAGGGGAAUUGAAACAUCUUAGUACCCUCAGGAAAAGAAAUCAAUAGAGAUUGCGUCAGUAGCGGCGAGCGAAAGCGCAAGAGGGCAAACCCAGUGCUUGCACUGGGGGUUGUAGGACUGCAAUGUGCAAGAGGUAAGUUUAGCAGAACAUUCUGGAAAGUAUAACCAUAGAGGGUGAUAGUCCCGUAUGCGAAAAACAAACCUUAGCUAGCAGUAUCCUGAGUAGGGCGGGACACGAGGAAUCCUGUCUGAAUCCGGGUCGACCACGAUCCAACCCUAAAUACUAAUACCAGAUCGAUAGUGCACAAGUACCGUGAGGGAAAGGUGAAAAGAACUGAGGUGAUCAGAGUGAAAUAGAACCUGAAACCAUUUGCUUACAAUCAUUCAGAGCCCUAUGUAGCAAUACAGGGUGAUGGACUGCCUUUUGCAUAAUGAGCCUGCGAGUUGUGGUGUCUGGCAAGGUUAAGCAAACGCGAAGCCGUAGCGAAAGCGAGUCUGAAUAGGGCGCUUAGUCAGAUGCUGCAGACCCGAAACGAAGUGAUCUAUCCAUGAGCAAGUUGAAGCUAGUGUAAGAACUAGUGGAGGACUGAACCCAUAGGCGUUGAAAAGCCCCGGGAUGACUUGUGGAUAGGGGUGAAAGGCCAAUCAAACUUCGUGAUAGCUGGUUCUCUCCGAAAUAUAUUUAGGUAUAGCGUUGUGUCGUAAUAUAAGGGGGUAGAGCACUGAAUGGGCUAGGGCAUACACCAAUGUACCAAACCCUAUCAAACUCCGAAUACCUUAUAUGUAAUCACAGCAGUCAGGCGGCGAGUGAUAAAAUCCGUCGUCAAGAGGGAAACAACCCAGACUACCAGCUAAGGUCCCUAAAUCUUACUUAAGUGGAAAACGAUGUGAAGUUACUUAAACAACCAGGAGGUUGGCUUAGAAGCAGCCAUCCUUUAAAGAAAGCGUAAUAGCUCACUGGUCUAGUGAUUUUGCGCGGAAAAUAUAACGGGGCUAAAGUAAGUACCGAAGCUGUAGACUUGCACACAACUUAGAUUAUUUAAGUUUAGAAUAUGAGAAACUAAGUUAUAUGUUUAGUUAUAUUUUUACUGGUUUUUAUAGAGUAAAGAUAGAAAUAAAACUUAGUAAAAUCAGUAAAAAUAUUCUUAGACUAAAGUUAAGUAGUUUAAGUUGUGUGCAAGUGGUAGGAGAGCGUUCUAUUUGCGUCGAAGGUAUACCGGUAAGGAGUGCUGGAGCGAAUAGAAGUGAGCAUGCAGGCAUGAGUAGCGAUAAUUAAUGUGAGAAUCAUUAACGCCGUAAACCCAAGGUUUCCUACGCGAUGCUCGUCAUCGUAGGGUUAGUCGGGUCCUAAGUCGAGUCCGAAAGGGGUAGACGAUGGCAAAUUGGUUAAUAUUCCAAUACCAACAUUAGUGUGCGAUGGAAGGACGCUUAGGGCUAAGGGGGCUAGCGGAUGGAAGUGCUAGUCUAAGGUCGUAGGAGGUUAUACAGGCAAAUCCGUAUAACAAUACUCCGAGAACUGAAAGGCUUUUUGAAGUCUUCGGAUGGAUAGAAGAACCCCUGAUGCCGUCGAGCCAAGAAAAGUUUCUAAGUUUAGCUAAUGUUGCCCGUACCGUAAACCGACACAGGUGGGUGGGAUGAGUAUUCUAAGGCGCGUGGAAGAACUCUCUUUAAGGAACUCUGCAAAAUAGCACCGUAUCUUCGGUAUAAGGUGUGGUUAGCUUUGUAUUAGGAUUUACUCCGAAAGCAAGGAAACUUACAACAAAGAGUCCCUCCCGACUGUUUACCAAAAACACAGCACUCUGCUAACUCGUAAGAGGAUGUAUAGGGUGUGACGCCUGCCCGGUGCUCGAAGGUUAAUUGAUGGGGUUAGCAUUAGCGAAGCUCUUGAUCGAAGCCCGAGUAAACGGCGGCCGUAACUAUAACGGUCCUAAGGUAGCGAAAUUCCUUGUCGGUUAAAUACCGACCUGCAUGAAUGGCGUAACGAGAUGGGAGCUGUCUCAAAGAGGGAUCCAGUGAAAUUGUAGUGGAGGUGAAAAUUCCUCCUACCCGCGGCAAGACGGAAAGACCCCGUGGACCUUUACUACAGCUUGACACUGCUACUUGGAUAAGAAUGUGCAGGAUAGGUGGGAGGCUUUGAGUAUAUGACGCCAGUUGUAUAUGAGCCAUUGUUGAGAUACCACUCUUUCUUAUUUGGGUAGCUAACCAGCUUGAGUUAUCCUCAAGUGGGACAAUGUCUGGUGGGUAGUUUGACUGGGGCGGUCGCCUCCCAAAUAAUAACGGAGGCUUACAAAGGUUGGCUCAGAACGGUUGGAAAUCGUUCGUAGAGUAUAAAGGUAUAAGCCAGCUUAACUGCAAGACAUACAAGUCAAGCAGAGACGAAAGUCGGUCUUAGUGAUCCGGUGGUUCUGUGUGGAAGGGCCAUCGCUCAAAGGAUAAAAGGUACCCCGGGGAUAACAGGCUGAUCUCCCCCAAGAGCUCACAUCGACGGGGAGGUUUGGCACCUCGAUGUCGGCUCAUCGCAUCCUGGGGCUGGAGCAGGUCCCAAGGGUAUGGCUGUUCGCCAUUUAAAGCGGUACGCGAGCUGGGUUCAGAACGUCGUGAGACAGUUCGGUCCCUAUCUGCCGUGGGCGUAAGAAGAUUGAAGAGAUUUGACCCUAGUACGAGAGGACCGGGUUGAACAAACCACUGGUGUAGCUGUUGUUCUGCCAAGAGCAUCGCAGCGUAGCUAAGUUUGGAAAGGAUAAACGCUGAAAGCAUCUAAGCGUGAAGCCAACUCUAAGAUGAAUCUUCUCUAAGCUCUCUAGAAGACUACUAGUUUGAUAGGCUGGGUGUGUAAUGGAUGAAAGUCCUUUAGCUGACCAGUACUAAUAGAGCGUUUGGCUUAUCUUUAAUAAAGCAU
rnacentral:rRNA from 1 species